AACGUUUAACACAUUUUAGCUGUUUUCACACACGUUCCAAUUUUCUCAAUAUUUUCUACAAAACUCAAAAAUGCCCUCAUUUCACACAGAUUUAACCAUUCUCAUCCAGAAAACACAAGUAUAAUUACCUCAAGUGUCACUCUAAUAACACACAUUUAUCCAUGUGUAUACAUUAAGUAGCAAAACUGAUGACACACCACUUAGAAUCUCAGGAUAAUAUUAUAAAGGCCCACAGGUGAUCGUGUGCUUUGGGGGAUGAAUCCUAGUAGUGGAAGACAAAGAGCAAGAGGAGAGGAAAAGAAAAAUGAAGGGGACGUCAAAUGUCAAAGGACAUUUAUUCCAUUGUUUGCAGGAAGGACCAUGAGGGACGUUGAUCUACCGGCUCAUCCACAAGGUUUCUAUACUCACACAUACAGAACACAGUAGCAGCACUUUCGAUGAGAGAACUUUCACUAUUCUGCAAACUGAGAGAUGACUGCCUAUGGGAGGGAGAGAAACACAAGAAACAACAAGACUAGAAACUGCUCUAACAUGACUGCAUGGCCUGACCCAGACCUGAAACGAGAUGAUGAGAACAUUGAUGCCGAUGCUCCAUUUUGAAAAUGUCCGCCCUGCAUGUGUUAGCAGGGAUGUCCCAGGCCUAGCGUCGCCCACAGGGUGAGGGCAGGGAGAUGGGUGGCUUAUGCAGACUGCAGUGGUUGUGCUACCUAUCUUCCUCUUGAAACAAAGCAGAGCUGACAGAGGCCACCUCAGGAGACGGCUCACUCUCCAUCACAGCGCUGAGAGGAAGAGGCAGGGUCUGUCAGGGGUCCCUUACCACCACAGAGAGCUACGGACCCCCAUCCUGCUGCUGUCUCCACUGCAAACAUGUACCAUCCAUACAUUGAGGAAGGAUACAGGUAUACAGUACAGGCAGGAAUAGCCGAUGUAAGGGAUACCGGGGCAAGUGGUCACAGGAUCGCAUUGACUAUAAGGUUUUUAGGCAAAUUGUGUGCCACACUAAAAUGCCAACGUUUAUAUAUAAACUACCUUUCGGAAGACAUGGA